AAGUCGUAACAAGGUUUCCGUAGGUGAACCUGCGGAAGGAUCAUUACUGAAUGGUCAAACAUGGGUUGUUGCUGGCCUCCCAAAAGGGGCAUGUGCACGCUCUGUUUACACAUCCACUCACACCUGUGCACCCUCUGUAGUUUUAUGGUUCGGGAGACCCCGUCUUCCUGCUGUAGCUCUACGUCUUUACACACACGCCGUAGUGAUGUCCUGUGGAAUGUUUUUCUGCGUUUAACGCAAUACAAUACAACUUUCAGCAACGGAUCUCUUGGCUCUC
rnacentral:misc_RNA from 1 species